rnacentral:misc_RNA from 1 species
CAACCUUCAAGCCUGGCUUGGUAUUGGGUCCGCCGCCUCCGGCAGGCCUCAAAGAUGUUGGCGGUGGGCGACCCCCGAGCGUGAUGGGUUCACGACAACGGGGCGGUCCGUCGCCGAAAGUUCUCUCUA